rnacentral:rRNA from 1 species
AACGAACGCUGGCGGCAUGCCUAACACAUGCAAGUCGAACGAGACCUUCGGGUCUAGUGGCGCACGGGUGCGUAACGCGUGGGAACCUGCCCUUAGGUUCGGAAUAACUCCCCGAAAGGGGUGCUAAUACCGGAUAAUGUCUUCGGACCAAAGAUUUAUCGCCUUUGGAUGGGCCCGCGUUGGAUUAGCUAGUUGGUAGGGUAAAAGCCUACCAAGGCGACGAUCCAUAGCUGGUCUGAGAGGAUGAUCAGCCACACUGGGACUGAGACACGGCCCAGACUCCUACGGGAGGCAGCAGUGGGGAAUAUUGGACAAUGGGCGAAAGCCUGAUCCAGCAAUGCCGCGUGGGUGAUGAAGGCCGUAGGGUUGUAAAGCUCUUUUACCCGGGAUGAUAAUGACAGUACCGGGAGAAUAAGCUCCGGCUAACUCC